GUCUGCUCCUUGUGCUGACAGCUGAAAUAGGCUCUGCCUACCAGCUGACAUGUUACUUCACCAACUGGGCCCAGAACCAGCCAGGCCUGGGGUGCUUCAAGCCUGAUGACAUCGACCCCUGCCUCUGUACCCACUUGAUCUACGCCUUUGCUGGAAUGCAGAACAACGAGAUCACCACCAUCGAAUGGGAUGACAUGACUCUCUACCAAGCUUUCAAUGGCCUGAAAAACAAGUAAAUGACGGAAAACCUGAGUUUCAAAUCUUUUAACCUUUAAGGACAGUUUAAACAAGAUCUUCCACAGCAGACUUCAGGCUGAAAUUCCAAACAGGCCAACAAGCAGGUAAAUUCAGCUUUCUUAUUAUUUCAAGUGCAAGAAUGACUCUAAUUUUAAGGGGAAUGGCUGGCUCACAGAAGCUAGCUGCUAACUAAAGCCCAGCUCAGUUGCCAAGGGAAGCUUAUAAGUCCAACUACUGGUGGACUCAGUUGAGAACAAUCUUCCACUUAGAAGCAAUCCAAAGCUGGCAUUGAUAAAGCAUUCAGUCUCCUUGGUCAGGAGAUUCACUCCUAGGGAAAUAAUUGGAACUGUGGAGACAUUGGGGUACAGCAAACCAACAUGGCACAUGUAUACCUAUGUAACAAACCUGCACAUUGUGCACAUGUACCCUGGAACUUAAAGUAUAUUUAAAAAAAAAACUGUGGAGACAUUGAAACAUACCAAUCAUAGUCACCUACUCCAACAUUCAUAAGUAGGAAAUAAGGAUAAGAACAAAGAUAAACCAGGAUGAGAGGCUGCAUGACACUUUCCUGGCUUCUUGCUCACUAUUGCAGCUAAAUGUUGAAAUGGCUUCCCUUUCUUUUCAUUUGUUCUGGUAAAACACUUUGUUUCUUUUCCCUCAGAAAUAGUCAACUGAAAACUCUCUUGGCUAUUGGUGGCUGGAACUUUGGCACUGCUCCUUUCACUGCCAUGGUUUCCACUCCUGAGAACCACCAGACUUUCAUCAACUCAGUCAUCAAAUUCCUGCGCCAGUAUGAGUUUGACGGGCUGGACUUUGACUGGGAGUACCCCGGCUCUCGUGUGAGCCCUCCUCAGGACAAGCAUCUCUUCACUGUCCUGGUGCAGGAAAUGCGUGAAGCUUUUGAGCAGGAGGCCAAGCACAUUAAUAAGCCCAGGCUGAUGGUCACUGCUGCAGUAGCUGCUGGCAUCUCCAACAUCCAGUCUGGCUAUGAGAUCCCCCAACUGUCACAGUACCCGGACUACAUCCAUGUCAUGACCUAUGACCUCCAUGGCUCCUGGGAGGGCUACACUGGAGAGAACAGCCCCCUCUACAAAUACCCGACUGACACCGGCAGCAACGCCUACCUCAAUGUGGAUUAUGUCAUGAACUACUGGAAGGACAACAGGGCCCCAGCUGAGAAGCUCAUGUUGGAUUCCCAGCCUAUGGACACUCCUUCCUUCUGAGCAACCCCUCCAACCAUGGAAUUGAUGCCCCUACCACUGGUCCUGGCCCUGCUGGACCCUAUACCAGGCAGUCUGGGUUCUGGGCCUACUAUGAGAUCUGUACCUUCCUGAAGAAUGGAGCUACUGAAGUAUGGGAGGCUUCUGAGGAUGUUCCCUAUGCCUACAAAGGAAAUGAGUGGCUUGGAUACGAUAACACCAAGAGUUUCCAAAUCAAGGCAGAUUGGCUAAAGAAGAACAACUUUGGAGGUGCCAUGGUCUGGGCCAUUGACCUGGAUGAUUUCACAGGCACUUUCUGCAACCAAGGAAAAUUCCCUCUGAUCACCACCCUGAAGGAUGCUCUGGGCCUGCAGAGUACAAGUGAGUUAGGGAGUGAGAAGGGACACUAAGCCUCAGACUUAAGAGAAAUUCCAAAGGUUCCUUGGAAGUCAUGGAGCUGUUGCACAAGUAAUUGUCUGACAUUGUCCAUUCCUAUCUGGUAACAAUUGAUUAAUGGUGGGAAGAACAAACAGGGCUCUUCACCAUUUCUUCCUUCCUUCAUUCAUUUCACAAGAAAUUUAUUGAACAUCUAUUACAUAUACAGUGCUCUGUAGGUACCACAGGUGAUCUAAAUGCAUAAAUAUCCAUAUCUACUCUAUGGAAAUUUACAAUCUAGUGAGAGAAAUUGGAUUUACAAAAACUGCAAAGCUAGACAACAAUACAGAAGAUAUUAUGUGAUACUGUGCCCCCUAAAAGAAUAAGUAACCUUCUUGUGAGUUCAUGAUAAUGAAAAAUUUCAAUCAGUAAGAUGUAAGGAGGAAAAAAUGCACUGUGACUUGAAGGAUGAGGAAGGAGUUGGUAAGCAAAGGGGUGAGUGGAGCAGGAAGGAUAUAUCAGAUCAGAAGACUGAAAUAUGUGGAGACAUAGAAGGAGGAGCCAAGAACAAAAUCCAGGUACUAGCUCUCACACAUCAGGUAUCACUGGCUAAAAGCAAGGAGGUUCAGGAUUUGUUUUCUUUUUUCUUCUCAGGUUGCAAAGCUCCAGCCCAACCCAUUGCUCCCAUUGCCGAGGCAAACAUCACAUGCGGUGUCAGCCACAGUCGUAGCUCUGGGGGCCGCUCUGGCAGGAGCUCUGGGGGCAGCCCCAGAGGUAGUGGAUUCUGUGCUGACAGGGCCAGUGGCCUGUACCCUGACCCCACUGACAAGAAUGCCUCCUACAGUUGUGUGAAUGGAAAGACUUUCACUCAGCACUGCCAGCCUGGUGGUGUCUUUGAUACCUUCUGCUCCUGCUGCAGCUGGUGAUAACAUUUUUCAGAUAUCACCUCACCCAGCCUCAGAAGUUGUUGUGCAAUAAAAGGUUGAGCAUUA